CUUAAUUUUAUUAUUAUUUAUUCCCUUUUCCCCUUCUUCUUUUGUACCUUUCCAUUUACUAUCCCAACUUUCAUUUAUGUUCUACUAAUCAAAAUAUAAGUGCCACUCCUAUUCCUAUAUUUCUAAUUGGUGUAUGUCCAUAAAGAUAUCUCUAAGCCUGAUUCCUUUUUUAUCAUUGUAAAACCCUUUAAUCAUUAUUAGUGUAGUAACACUUAUUUGAUCUACAGAUUUUACCAUGAGUUUAUUACUUCUGUGUAUUAUAUUACCUUUGCAUUUUAACUCUGCCUUAGAGCCCAGUAUACAUAUGUUUUUUAUGCUAUUCAUUCCUUCCCUCUCCUGGCUCUUUACUGGCCAUCUCCACAUAUAACACUACCCUCACCUCUGCCCUGAACGCUGCACCCUGCUCCAAACAUGCACCUCGAGGAGGACACGCCCCCAACCUUGGCAUACUAAAUCAACACGCUAUCUGCAAAGUUGCUCCCAUUGUGAGGAACGCUCCUGGAGGAAGUCCCGCACCCAGGCAGACUAUUUUCAUUAUUGAUUCAUACAGCGCAGCCCUUGCCCUCGCCAAACAGUCAUACUUUUCUUCUCUCAUUAGUUCAUGCUCCUGCAAUCCCAGGCGUCUCUUUGACACCUUUAACUCUCUUCUCUGCCCUGCCAUAGCAGCCCCCCAAAUUAACCUUACAGCCAAUAGCUUUGCAUGCUACUUUCCCGACAAGAUUGAACAGCUAAGGAAAGAAUUCUCCCCUCCUUGCCAUUCUCUUUCUCAACCACACGUAAAUCAUGCCUUUCCUACCCUUGAUACUUUCUCCCCAACUACUGAAUAAGAGGUGGCUGUGCUUCUCCUUUCUUCUCACCCCACCACUUGCCCACUCGAUCCUGUCCUGUCUCACCUCAACAGAUCUCUCUCCCCUUGUCUUGUGCCUUCCCCAACACACAUCUUCAACUGCUCUCUCUCUUCUGGUGUUGUCCCUGCUGACCUUAAACAUGCCACUGUAGUACCUAUCCUGAAAAAAAAAAUCUCUUGACCCAUCCUUCCCUUCUAACUAUCGUCCCAUAUCCCUGCUCCCUUUUUCCUCAAAGCUUCUGGAAAAACUUGUCUUUACCCGUGUGUCUCGCUUCCUCAAUUCCAACUCUCUUCUUGACCCUCUUCAGUCCGGCUUCCCCCCUUUCACUCUACUGAGACUGCUCUUAUCAAAGUUACUAAUGACCUAAUCGCAGCUAAAUCCAAAGUUACUAAUGACCUAAUCGCAGCUAAAUCCAUAUUAAUUCUUCUUGACCUCUCUGCUGCCUUUAACACCGUUGUUCAUGCUCUCCUCCUUCAAACUCUUCAGUCGUUUGGUUUCUGUGACUCUGUCCUCUCGUGAUUUUCCUCUUAUCUCUCCCAACGCUCAUUCAGUGUCUCCUUUUCCAAGGAUACCUCCUCCCCUCGUCCUGUCUCUGUUGGAGUUCCCCAAGGCUCUGUCCUUGGUCCCCUUCUAUUUUCUCUUUAUACUGACUCUCUAGGCAAAACCUCUUUUGGAUUCUACUACCACCUGUACGCUGAUGACACCCAAAUAUAUCUCUCCUUCCCGAACCUCUCCCCUGCCGUCCUGCAACAUGUCACUGCUUGCCUUUCUUCCAUCUCUGACUGGAUGUCCUCCCACUUUCUGAACUCAAUCUCUCUGAAUCUGAACUCCUUGUCUUUCCUCCUCCUAAUACUGAUCCUCCUCUCUUGCUCUCCCUUCAAGUCAAUGGUAUCCAUAUCAGUCCAUCCUUGCAAGCGUGCUGUCUUGGCAUCAUACUUGACUCUUGCCUCACCUUUGAGCAUCACAUCCAGUUUGUUGCCAAAUCCUGUAGAUUCCAACUUAAAAGCAUAGCCCACAUCCGACCCUUUCUUACAUGCUACCAAGGAGCUUGUCCAUGCUCUAGUAAUUUCCUGCAUGGAUUAUUGUAACCCUAUCCUGAUUGGUCUUCCCAAAAGCCGUAUCGCCCCGCUACAGUCUUUAAUGAAUGCCGCCGCCAGACUGAUUUUCCUCUCUAGUCGGUCCUCUCACAAUUCACCCCUCUGUCAAUCCAAACAUUUGCUAUCUGUAUCCUAUAGGAGUCAAUUCAAAGUGCUUACCCAUACAUAUAAAGCACUGAACAAUUCUAGCCCCUCUUAUAUCUCUUCACAGAUCCAUAGGUAUGCCCCUCCACUCUGCUCGUGACCACCUUCUGACCGCUGCUCGCACCCGUAUGGCCAACUCGCAUUUGCAGGACUUCUCACAGGCGGCUUCCUUCCUAUGGAAUAGCCUUUCUACCCCCAUCAGACUCUCCCUUAGUCUUCAAUCAUUUAAGAAGUGCCUUAAAACCCAUCUCUUUAGGAACACUUAUGGCUUCCCAGAGUAACCUCUACCUUACACACCUGUUUCUUGCUCCCUCCUAUAGGGCAGCACUUUACUCUCUCCUCCAUUCCUGCUUCACUCCCACCUUAUUUGAUUGAUAUUUCCUUUCCUAAUGUGUUCUAUACCCCACCUCCUAUAGACUGUAAGCUCAUUUGAGCAGGGUCCUCUUCAACCUAUUGUUCCUGUAAGUUUUCUUGUAAUUGUCCUAUUUAUAGUUACAUCCCCCCCUCUCAUAAUAUUGUUAAGCACUAUGGAAUCUGUUAGUGCUAUAUAAAU
rnacentral:lncRNA from 1 species